rnacentral:lncRNA from 1 species
GGCGGCUCCCGGGAGGCAGGGCUUCCAGGGUUCAAAACCGGGCAGUCCUGGGCCAGCCAGACGGACCGCGGGCCGGACAGACAGUGCGGCUUUGGGGAAGCAGCACCUAAGACAGGCCGAGAAGGAGGCUCCGGAAUUCCCUCACGGGAGGAUAUUAAGGUGCGCAGGGCCGCGCAUCUGCCGGCAGCAGAGGAAACUGAGGCACCGCGAAGGCCGCGGCGGAGUCUGUCGCCCGACCCUGCCGCUCCUUUGUCCCGGGGUCCUCCCCCGGUUCCGCACCGCCCCUGCCCCGUUCCUCCCCCUCCCCCAGCGGGCGCGGCUGACGCGGCCUGGGAGGAAUGCGCUUCCGGAGGGAGAGGGCGGCGGCUGCGGCCUGAGGAGCGGGAUCGCCGCGCCUGGAAGGCGGUGCCGCGGGGGUCGUUUCCUGCCGGGAGGCGGCCCCACGCCGCUGAGUCUCCUCCUCCCGCCCGAGAGGAGGAGGCGGAGCCGCCGCCGCCGCCGCCGCGCCCGAGCCCGGGAGGCCAAGCCAGCCCUGGGGACAGGCCGAGCGGGAGCCGCGGAGCACAGGCCGAGCUGACCGCGCGGGCCGGACGCCGCGGGAGAAGGGCAGUUUCCUUCUUUCUUUUUGCCUCUCCUAGAUUUGGUUCCCCAUGACAGAAGAAGCCUCAAGUCAUUCUUCCUUAUUUCUAUUUGUGUUAGGGCACAGAGCCUGACAAGAGUUGGCUGAGGAAGAACGUCCAGAAGGUAGGGGAGAAGCCAGUAAAGUUCGCGGGAAUAGAGCAUGCUAAGAAAGAACAGCGAGGUGUAGUCAGUGUUGCUGUGUCAAUUCUUUGGGUGGUAAACUGAUGUAUGCCCCCAGGCACGUAUUGUAGGCAGGCACUAAAGUUUUGAAUGAAUGAAUGAAUGGCUGCAGAGAGUAGGAUAGGCCUGGGAAGUUUUCUUUUUCUAGAGCAGUUUCACAUGCACGGUGGGAAGCGGACACCCAGUUACACAGGUGGAGGAGGGAGACGGAGACCCAGGUAGACAACUAUUUCUAGACCUUUGGUCAUGAAGACAUGAAAGUUAGGAUGAGGACAGGACCUGAAGGCCUCUCUCCCUGGUGGCCUCGCCUCAGGAACUGUUCUGUGUGGGGUGCUCUCGGGGGGAGACUCCGCGGGGCACCUUUCUCAGCCUGAGGGUCGCCUGGGGUAUAGGCCCCGCCUCCCGAGAUAGGGGUUUUCAGGCCUGGGGUGCUGCCUCAGGGCGUCCGGAAGUCUCCGGAGCUCUUGGGGUGCCAUCCUUCCUCCCUGCCCCCUGGCCCCACCGCCUCUUUGCUGCCUGCUCUCCUCAGGGCCUCUCCGCUCUUGUCUCUGCCCGGCCGUCCUCGUGGCUUUCCUUUAUCCCUGCUGGCCGCCGUCUUCCGUCUCCUAGGGCUUCUCUGCUUCCCGGGGAGAAAGCCUGGCCUUUGCAGGCCUGGCCACCGUCCUGGCGGGGCUGCUACUGGCCUUGGGCUGCCCUCCACCCUGCUUCUUUCGGUGGCUCUACAGCCCUUGUGCUGCCUGCUUCCUCAGAAGGCUGGUCUUUGGCGCAUCAAGGUUUAUAGAAGGAAAAGAAAAAUGGCAUUAAAGUAGUAUUUUAAAGCUACGGGACCUAAGAAUGUUAGGAAACUUUUUCUGCUACCAAAUAACUUUAUCUUAGUGGUGCUUCUCUGAGUUGUGUAACAUUUUAAAGGUUUCCCAAGGUAGUCUAGUGGUCCUUAAGGUGACCUGAGUUGUAUCCUGAAGACACACGUAUCAGAGUCCAUAUAUGGAACAAAUAUUUGUUCUGUUCUCUUUGUGUAGAAACUGCCCAGAUGCUCCAUUCAUCACAGUCAUGCAUUUCUUCGGGCGUCUUACUGUUCCAGGUCCUUUUAAUCAUAGCUUUGGAAUUGAUAACAUUAUUUGAAUUGUUUAGAAUUAUAGUCUGCCUGGAUUUUUUACACAUUGAACCUUUUAGUCAGGCCUUAAAAGGUAAACUGUCAGGCAUUUCACACUUCAGUGACCCGCAGCUUUUGUUGGCCUUUUGGAUGCAGUCACAAGUAAUAACGUAAGCAAAACUGUGGCAUAACAGAACUGGCUGCUCUGAGCACUGUUGCAAAGUGGAUGACUGUGCAAGUUAUUCAUGCUGCUUUUCUUUGGGAAACCAGAAAAUGUGAGCAGCAUUUGACAGGAAACCCAGUAUCCCAGGGGUGCUCAGAGCAUAACUUUAAAGCAUUUUCUUGGAGCUGUGGGAUUGUAUCCUGGAACAUAAGCCCUUGAAAAUGAGAGGUUUUGAAAGAAAUUUUUUUUUCUUAUUAAAGGAAAUUCACCAAGAAAGAAAAAAAUUCCACACAGUACCCUGCCGUAAUUGUUUUUACUAAGAAAGUGAAAAGAAGAAAACACUAGAACAAUUUAAAAACAAAUGAACCCAUUGUCUUUAUAUUAUGCUUAUAACUCUGUCAUCUCCAGGAUUCUUUGGUUACUUUAUACGUUUAUAUACUGUUAUUUUUACAUACCUGUCAUCUUAAUGUGCUCUUUGCAUCCAGAAGUUAUUCUAUAAACCUUUUGAUGUUACUACAUUUUUUUCUUUUGACUCUAGUAGUCCAUCAAGUUGAUACAGUUAGCCCUUUCCCCAUCAUUCUAGAGGACGUUGGCACUUUUGUCUGUUAUAAACAUGCUAGAGUCUGUACUGAAAGUGUAUGUGCAUGUGUAUCACUUUUUAUAUUUUAAAUUAUUAGGAUGAAUUCCUAGUAGCUCGUUUACUGAGUCAGAGGGUAGAAACAGUUUUAAUGCUUUUUGAUAUAGAUUGUUAAAUUAUUUUCCCCCAAGUUAUACCAGUUUACAGCCAUCUCUGGUCUCUCUUAGCCAUCUGCAGUAAGUCUUUGUUCUGUUGUUUUGUUGGGUUAAAAAACGUUGUUUUUUUUUUUUUUUCCUGCUUGCUGGUUUACCUUACAUUGCUUUAAUUUAUAUCUCUUUGCUAAGUAGUAAAGCCAAACUUCGUUUGGUGGGGGGGUGUUAUAUUUGCUUUUGGUUUUUUUGCAUUCUGUGGAAGGGGCAGGUGUUCAUGCAUAAUUAUUAGACUGGCUGCUAGUCCAAGAGCAGUAAAGGAGUUAAGGGAUAGGGUCAGUGACCUGUGGCUAUAGCCGUCUUUGACCAACUCUGAUAAGGUAUAGAUUAAUGUUGUGAAAACUUUGAUUCACAGAAAACAGUUACAUACCUAAUGGUUGGAGUUUGAGGUAUUCUGCUUAAUAUACAGACUCUUACUUAAUUUUUCUUUAGAGAUUCUAAAAGACACUUAAACCUCUUUCAGGUCUUCUUAUGUCCCUCUCCCCCCACUUUUGUGUAGUUUGUAGAUCUAGAAAUUGUAGGAAAUUGAACUGGAUAUUUUACUAAUACCAUGCACAGAAGUUGAUUUUCUUAAGAAAUAGUUACAGGACAUCAAACUCAAAAAUUGAGUUGGGGCCUUGUGCAGGAUGUUGGUCUUAGCCUUAGAAAAAAUAAAAACUAUUGAAAAGUUGUAAGCAAGGGGAUGACAUGAUCAGGAUUUUGACAGGUUCACUCAAACUAACAUUCAGUGUUGAGGUAACUGAGGCAUAUGGAUAUGCCUGUUUGGCCCCCUAGGAGUCACAGCAGGUAAUAGAGAUUCCAUGGGACAAAGACUUAAUAUUAAUAGCUUUUAGGUGUAGGAAUACUUGACACUUUUUGUUUUGAGCACUGUUAAUUAAAUAUUAAUGUAUAAUUGAUUUGGAGAAAAGUAAGAUUGGAUUCUGGGAAUCUGGAGUGGAAGGUGAGGUAACUGGGGGGAGAGGUGGAUGUUGAGCAUGGAGGAGGGCUGGGGAGGAAGAUGCAUUUACACUUAUAAAUUAGCGGACGAUCAGGUGAGUGGCAAUGAUUAGGCUUUAUAUGUUUUUUUUCCUUAAUAUAACA